UCUGGUUGAUGCUGCCAGCGCGGGCUGCUAUUGGUGUUAGGUAAGGCAUGCAAGUCUAUCGUCCUUCGGGAUGAGGCGAAAAGCUGAGGAACACGUUGGUAAGCUGCCCUUGAGACGGGGAUAACCACGGGAAACUGUGACUAAUACCCGAUAGCUGAGGAUCCCUGGAAAUGGGCCAUCAGUUAAAUGCUACGGCGCUCAAGGAUGCACCUGCGUCCCAUUAGGUAGUUGGUGGUGUAACGGACCACUAAGCCAUUGAUGGGUAACGGCACUUAAAGGUGUGGCCGUCAGAUCGGGACUGAGACAACGCCCGGGCCUCCACGGAGUCCAGCAGUCAGGGAAAUUCCACAAUGCCGGAAACGGUGAUGGAGUAACGCCAAGUGAUAAGAUCACUCUUAUCUGUUGUAUAGUGUAAACAGCUAUAUGAGGAAGCAGAGGGCAAGGAUGGUGCCAGCAGCCGCGGUAAAACCAUCUCUGCGAGUGGACCGCUUUUAUUAGGCUUAAAGCGUGCGCAGCCGGACCAAGUAGUCUUCGGUGAAAGCCUGUCGCUCAACGAUAGGAAAUGCUGGAGAAACCAUUGGUCUUGGGACUGGGAGAGGUAGGCGGUACUGAUGGGGUAGCGGUGAAAUGCGUAGAUCCUGUCGGGACCACCUGUGGCGAAGGCGGCCUACUGGAACAGAUCCGACGGUCAGGCACGAAAGCGUGGGUAGCGAAGCGGAUUAGAUACCCGUGUAGUCCACGCCGUAAACGCUCUGCACCAAGUGUAGCCGUAUUUAGAUACGGCUGUGCUGUCGAGAAAUUCUUGAGUGCAGCGCCUGGGGAUUACGGUCGCAAGACUGAAACUUAAAGCAAUUGACGGGGCUCUACCGGAACGCGUGAGACUUGCGGUUUAAUUGGACUCAACGCCAGAAACCUUACCUGAGCCGUUUAUAGUAAUGAUUGUCAGCUUGAUGAGCUUACGUGAGCUAUAAAUAGGUGUUGCAUGGCCCAUUUUAGCUCGUGCCGUGAGGUGUUUGCUUAAGUGCAAAAACGUAGCGAGACCGGCGUCCUUAUUUGCCAGUGAUGCAUCCGUGUAGAUCGGGUACAAUAAGGAGAUCGCCACCGCUGAGGUGGAUGAAAGAGCCGUCCAGAUGAGGUCUGUAUGACCCGUACGCUCAGGGCCACACGCGAGUCGCAAUGGCCGGGACAAUGAGAUGCAACGUCGAAAGACGACGCCAACCUCUAAACCCGGUCUCAGUUAGGAUCGCGGACUGUAAGCGUCCGCGUGAAUAUGGAAUGCGUAGUAAGGACGUUUCAUUAUGACGUCCUGAAUUCUCCCCUGGAGCUUGCACACACCGCCCGUCGCUUGAUCCGAGAUGGGAGGGGAUGAGGCGUGGUUAUCACUGACCAUGACGAGUCUUCUCUCGUUGAGGCGCAAGAAGUCGUAACAAGGUGCCCGUAGCGGAAGCUGCGGGCGG
rnacentral:rRNA from 1 species